rnacentral:rRNA from 1 species
GACGAACGCUGGCGGCGUGCUUAACACAUGCAAGUCGAACGCUGAAGCCCUUCGGGGUGGAUGAGUGGCGAACGGGUGAGUAACACGUGGGUAAUCUGCCCUGCACUCUGGGAUAAGCCUUGGAAACGGGGUCUAAUACCGGAUAGGACACAUCGCCGCAUGGUGUGUGUGUGGAAAGUUCCGGCGGUGCAGGUUGAGCCCGCGGCCUAUCAGCUUGUUGGUGGGGUGAUGGCCUACCAAGGCGACGACGGGUAGCCGGCCUGAGAGGGUGACCGGCCACACUGGGACUGAGACACGGCCCAGACUCCUACGGGAGGCAGCAGUGGGGAAUCUUGCGCAAUGGGCGAAAGCCUGACGCAGCAACGCCGCGUGGGGGAUGACGGCCUUCGGGUUGUAAACCUCUUUCGACCGGGACGAAGGAUUCGUUUGACGGUACCGGUAGAAGAAGCACCGGCUAACUACGUGCCAGCAGCCGCGGUAA